UACGAAGGGGGCUAGCGUUGCUCGGAAUUACUGGGCGUAAAGCGCACGUAGGCGGCUUUCUAAGUCGGGGGUGAAAUCCUGGAGCUCAACUCCAGAACUGCCUUCGAUACUGGAAAAGCUCGAGUCCGGGAGAGGUGAGUGGAACUGCGAGUGUAGAGGUGAAAUUCGUAGAUAUUCGCAAGAACACCAGUGGCGAAGGCGGC
rnacentral:rRNA from 1 species